GGAAGGAUCAUUCACGCUAGAUCCACAAAAAGUUGAACAUGCUCUCAAAAGACAAAAAUUAAAACAUUCUCUGCGGUGGAUGUUUCGGUUCCCAUAUCGAUGAAGGACGUAGCAUUAUGCGAUAAUCAGUGCGAAUUGCAGAAGAAUGUGAACUUAUCAGGUAUCUUAACGCAUACGGCACACGAGACGUCUGUCUCACUGUGCGUUCGGCUCAGUGCAGUUAAUAGUAUCUUUCAGUGCCGACUUCUUAGCCGUCACCAAUAUUGUACAUUGGAGUUCGUCAGACUGAAAAUGAUCUCUCCAGUAUUGAAAACUCUUAUAGGACUGGAGCUCGAAUGCGGAAACCCGCUGAACUUAAGCAUAUUAGUAAGCGGAGGAGAAGUAACUAACCAGGAUCCCUUUAGUAGUUGCGAACGAACAGGGGAGAACUCAAAUUGAAAAUCGCAUGGGGUAUAUUUCAUGUGAAUUGUAGUGUGGAAUGCAGUUGCCGGCGUCUUGCCCAAGCAAAAGUCUCGUGGGAAAGAGCGCACAAAAGGGUGAGAGCCCCGUGUAAGCUUGGUGCUGGUCGCAUACGGCACGCUAUUUCAAGAGUCGCGUCUCUCGGGAAUGAAGCGCAAAUUGAAUGGUAAAUUUCAUUGAAGGUAAUAACAAAUAUGGGAAUCCGAUAGUGAAGAAGUACCGCGAGGGAAAAAUGAAAAGAACUUUGAAAAGAGAGUUAAAACUCCCUGAAGCUGCCGAGAAGGAAGCGGUUCGAACUGCUAUAAUAUCCGACAGAUCCCUUAAAACAGGUCGGUUUUGUCCUUAAACUUCUUAGGAGGUUCGAAGACAAAGCUGCCCCGUUGCUUGGGUCAUCUGCGGCAUUUUUGCGCUGUGUGUGUUUGCCCAAUGGACCAUCAACAUAAAAACCGACUAGUCCGGUCUGAGUGGUAAGAACCUGAUGGGCUUACUUACAAGGUGAAGCGGCAUUGUGGUGUUCUUUGAACCCUUUUGUCACAGCAACGGUUACUUGGUUCGCACCGACCCGUCUUGAAACACGGAUCAAGGAGUCCAACAUGAACACGAGUUGCAAGGUAUUACACCUUGGAGCACAAUGAAAAUGAAUAUGACACAAACAACCGACUACACUCAGAGGUUCGAGGGAGAGUGUCCAUGUUGGGACCCGAAAGAUGGUGAACUAUGCCCGGACAGGGUGAAGCCAGGGGAAACCCUGGUGGAAGCUCGCAGCGAUACUGACGUGCAAAUCGUUCGUCUAAUUUGGGUAUAGGGGCGAAAGACUAAUCGAACCAUCUAGUAGCUGGUUCCCUCCGAAGUGUCCCUCAGGAUAUACGUAUAUAGACGCUACCGGUAGUACUAGAGUAGCACUCUCCGUAGGUGAACCUGCGGAAGGAUCAUUAGUGAAUUGAGCUGGCUUCGGCCGCUCUGAUCUAUACACACCUGUGAACUGUUGGCCUUCGGGUCUUUAAUUACAACUGUGACGAACGUAAAUUAUUAUAACAAAUAAAACUUUUAACAACGGAUCUCUUGGCUCUCGCAUCGAUGAAGAACGCAGCGAAAUGCGAUAAGUAAUGUGAAUUGCAGAAUUCAGUGAAUCAUCGAAUCUUUGAACGCACCUUGCGCCCGUUGGUAUUCCGACGGGCAUGCCUGUUUGAGUGUCGUGAACAACCUCAACCUUGAUUGGUUUUACUAAUCAAGGCUUGGACUUGGGUGUUGCUGCUGCAAAGUGGCUCGCCUUAAAACUAUUAGCUGGACCUGUCUAUGACUUGGUUCGACUCGAUGUAAUAAGUAUUCAUCGGGGACAGGGUAACACCUGGCCAAGGCUUGAUGCCGUCUGCUUCUAAUCAUGUUCUCACUAUGAGACGCUACUUUACUGUGUGGCCUCAAAUCAGGUAGGAUUACCCGCUGAACUUAAGCAUAUCAAUAAGCGGAGGAAAAGAAACUAACAAGGAUUCCCCUAGUAACGGCGAGUGAAGCGGGAUGAGCUCAAAUUUGUAAUCUGGUGGACUCAGUUCAUCCGAAUUGUAAUCUAUAGAAAAGUUUUCCGCGCUGGACCGUGUCUAAGUCCCUUGGAACAGGGUGUCAGAGAGGGUGAGAAUCCCGUGCUUGAUACGACCACCAGUGCUAUGUGAUACUUUUUCAACGAGUCGAGUUGUUUGGGAAUGCAGCUCAAAAUGGGUGGUAAAUUCCAUCUAAAGCUAAAUAUUGGCGAGAGACCGAUAGCGAACAAGUACCGUGAGGGAAAGAUGAAAAGCACUUUGGAAAGAGAGUUAAACAGUACGUGAAAUUGUUAAAAGGGAAACGAUUGAAGUCAGUCGUGCUCUCUAGGACUCAGCCAGUUCUUCUGGUGUAUUUCCUAGUGAGCGGGUCAACAUCAGUUUAGAUCGCUGGAUAAGGUCAUUAGGAAUGUGGCUCCCUCGGGAGUGUUAUAGCCUAGUGUCGCAUACAGUGGUUUAGACUGAGGAACGCAGCUCGCCUUUAUGGCCGGGGUUCGCCCACGUCCGAGCUUAGGAUGUUGACAUAAUGGCUUUAAACGACCCGUCUUGAAACACGGACCAAGGAGUCUAACAUAUCUGCGAGUAUUUGGGUGUCAAACCCGAAUGCGCAAUGAAAGUGAAUGUAGGAGUGAUCCGCAAGGAGCAACUUCGACCGAUCUGGAUCUUUAGUGAUGGAUUUGAGUAAGAGCAUACAUGUUGGGACCCGAAAGAUGGUGAACUAUGCCUGAAUAGGGCGAAGCCAGGGGAAACUCUGGUGGAGGCUCGUAGCGAUUCUGACGUGCAAAUCGAUCGUCAAAUUUGGGUAUAGGGGCGAAAGACUAAUCGAACUAUCUAGUAGCUGGUUCCUGC
rnacentral:misc_RNA from 1 species